rnacentral:lncRNA from 1 species
AUGAGAUCUGUGGAAGGAGAGCACUUGAGGGAGAUCGGAGGGAUUUCUUAGGUUUCAAGACCCUCGAUGGCCAGCAGCAGGGCCACCACCUCACUCAUUGUGGCUGCUUCUUCGGCUUGAGAUGGCGGCAGGCUAGGCCCAACUUGAGCACCAACUUCGAUGAGGGUGUAGUUGUCCGACGGUGACUGGGGGUGGUGGUGUCGGCGGACGGUCUUAAUGAUGAGAGUAAUAAAUCCGAUGAGGCCGGCAAUGAUGAUGAUGGAGCCUACCGUC